CUGGCCAGACCGGUUGGCCCGACAAACUCGAAGCUUCGAGGCCUCGCCCGUAUCAAGACCGACUGAGUUUAUGUUAUGCAUCUUCUUUUGUCUCUCUUCAGGUUUUGAGCAAGCCUUGGCUUGGUUGGAUUUCUUGACCUAAGGGUGGCCUAAAGCUAAGGUUUUUUUAGGUCUAGGGUUUGCUGACCAGGUUUUUCUCACUGGGUUCUGUCUUUCUCUCUCUCUUUAGCCUCCCACGUCCCAUCUUCC
rnacentral:lncRNA from 1 species